AGGAGGCAAUAAAGGUAAUUAAUUUGCCAGUUCAUAGCGUGCCUAUCUGCCAGUCUCCUUCCUUGUUGGAUGUGAGCUACAGAACAGGUAGUUUGCUGUUAAAAAGCAGGGUGGAGAAGGAUGAAAGUGCAGUAAGAAUGACUUGCUGUUGUAGAGGGCGCAUGGCCUGAGAAUUCCUUUGGAUUAGGCAGUAGCUUACUUGCAACGUGAGAAAUGGAAUAUGCGCAUCUGGACCAACUGCUGCCACAAUAGAGGUACUAACACUGCCAGAACUAGCCUCAGAAGAUACUCAUCUCCGUUCUCUCUUAGGGAAGGGGAGGUAAAAUUUGCAGUAUAUUGACCAUACUGUUGCACAAGGGAUGCCAAGAAAGGUUUUGCAUGCAGAACGAUGUAUUUGCAGAGUCUGUAACUGAUGGUAUACAUAGAACUCAAAGUUAUCUCAGAGGGGAAAAAAAUGAGAGAAAGGAAAAGAAGUUUAAAAAACCACAACAAACUCCUCUGCCACUGUUAGUGAAACAGCAUGGUCUCCAGCCAAGCCUCUUCCUUGGGCAUGCUUUCCAGAGCAGUGGGUGCUGACAGAAAAGGUUUUUCACCACGUUUUGUCCUAGCGUGAUACACUUUUCAUCCCCACUCAAACACACUAUUGCUUGUUACUGUUCACAAUGGGAUCAAAAGCAUACUUGGGGUCCUGUGAGGACUGGUUUCUCAGCCUUCUGCAUGUCUGUUAUGGUGUAAUGCUUACCUGCUUUGUUAUCCACUGGGUUUUGUUCUUCUGCUAAUAUAAACAGAAAGUUCCAAACAGGUUAUGAAGAGAGUGGGGGAGAAGAGGUGAUUUUUUUUUCCUAAUGGCAGCCAUUUACUCUGAAAAACCCAGCUUGACCUGGGGUUUGCACAGGCACAAAGGGGAAAACACUGCCCUGGCAGAUUCAGGAAAAACCCUUCUGCAACAGCCUAGGGCUUACCUGGAGGUUAUGGAGCUGUGGGGGGCAGGCAGACUGCAGAGCUGCAAACACAAGACCUCUGGUGUCACACAGGUUAAGGCACUAAUGGCAUUGUGUAACUACUGAAAGUCACAAUGCAUCAACCAGAUGAAAGAAUUAAAAGAACAAUGUGAAGAAAGGAUAGAUGAGCUUACAAAAAAGGUUACUGAUGUUCCACAAAUCAAAGAAAACAAAGACGUAUCAGAAGAUUUGAAAAAAAAUAGCCAGGUGCUCCUUUGCUGACCUGUGAUCCCUCUCCAGGCUCUAGGCAUCUCCUAUUGGCACCAGAAUCAGACUGGUAGGAGUGAGAUGAAGUGAGGUUCCCUUCCCCCAGCAACUUUAGUUGAAAGCCACUUCCAGCAGCCUGGCAAGCCUGUGGCUGAAGACACUCUUCCCUUUCUCCAAAGGUGGACCCCAUCAGCCCCCAGUAGAGCAUGUUUCUCAAAGUGAGUUCCAUGGUCGAAGUAGCCAAACCCCUGGUUGUGGCACCGGUAACCAUUUGUUGAUUCCCCGCAUUGAUACAGACAGCCCUGGACACAUGCAGUGAAGCUCCUGGGUUUGAAGGCAGCUAAUUUAUUUCUAUGCACCAAAGCAGCCCUUCCUUCAGCACUGUAAGGGCUAGUCACAAAGUUUACUUGUUUGCAGUGGGGCCUUUCCCCCACACCUUGGUGGGCAACUCUUAUUGCAAUAUACGGUGGGGGUUUGGUUGUAUAUACCCUUUUCUCUUGGCUAGGAAAAGGCUACUAGAAGAAAGCAUUUGGUGGCUUGAGAAGUGGAAAGGGUAAUGCAACAAGGAUUGAAGCUGGGUUUUGCAAAUAGCUGGAAAUGGGUGGGGGAAAAUGGCUGCAGCAUCUGUCCAGAGACCCCUAGGUGCUCAGGUAAUGGUUCCAGUUUGUGUCCAGUCCUGUAUGUAAAAUGGUGGAAGAGAAA